AUUGAACGCUGGCGGCGUGCCUAACACAUGCAAGCCGAGCGGUAACAGGUGUAGCAAUACAUGCUGACGAGCGGCGGACGGGUGAGUAACGCUUGGGAAUCUGCCUAUUAGUGGGGGACAACCCGGGGAAACUCGGGCUAAUACCGCAUACGCUCUACGGAGGAAAGCCGGGGACCGCAAGGCCUGGCGCUAAUAGAUGAGCCCAAGUCGGAUUAGCUAGUUGGUAGGGUAANGGCCUACCAAGGCGACGAUCCGUAACUGGUCUGAGAGGACGACCAGUCACACCGGAACUGAGACACGGUCCGGACUCCUACGGGAGGCAGCAGUGGGGAAUAUUGGACAAUGGGCGAAAGCCUGAUCCAGCGACGCCGCGUGGGUGAAGAAGGCCUGCGGGUUGUAAAGCCCUUUCAGUGGGGAAGAAAAGCCUCGACCUAACACGUCGGGGUCUUGACGUAACCCAUAGAAGAAGCACCGGGCUAACUCUGUGCCAGCCGCCGCCGUAAG
rnacentral:rRNA from 1 species